AUUGAACGCUGGCGGCAGGCCUAACACAUGCAAGUCGAGCGGAGCGGCGGACGGGUGAGUAAUGCCUAGGAAUCUGCCUGGUAGUGGGGGAUAACGUCCGGAAACGGGCGCUAAUACCGCAUACUAUCAGAUGAGCCUAGGUCGGAUUAGCUAGUUGGUGGGGUACAGGCACACAAGGGCGAGGAGCCGUAACGGGUCUGAGAGGAUGCUCAGUCACACUGGAACUGAGAAACGGUCCAGACUCCUAGGGGGGGCAGCAGGGGGAAAUAUUGAACAAUGGGCGAAAGCCUGAUCCAGCCAUGCCGCGUGUGUGAAGAAGGUCUUCGGUUUGUAAAGCACUUUAAGUUGGGAGGCGUUACCAACAGAAUAAGCACCGGCUAACUUCGUGCCAGCAGCCGCGGUAAUA
rnacentral:rRNA from 1 species